AAAUUGAAGAGUUUGAUCAUGGCUCAGAUUGAACGCUGGCGGCAGGCCUAACACAUGCAAGUCGAACGGUAACAGGAAACAGCUUGCUGUUUCGCUGACGAGUGGCGGACGGGUGAGUAAUGUCUGGGAAACUGCCUGAUGGAGGGGGAUAACUACUGGAAACGGUAGCUAAUACCGCAUAACGUCGCAAGACCAAAGAGGGGGACCCUCGGGCCUCUUGCCAUCGGAUGUGCCCAGAUGGGAUUAGCUUGUUGGUGGGGUAACGGCUC
rnacentral:rRNA from 1 species